GAUGAACGCUGGCGGCGUGCUUAACACAUGCAAGUCGAACGAUGAAGCCCAGCUUGCUGGGUGGAUUAGUGGCGAACUGGUGAGUAACACGUGAGUAACCUGCCCUUAACUCUGUGAUAAGCCUGGGAAACUGGGUCUAAUACCGGAUAGGAGCGUCCACCGCAUGGUGGGUGUUGGAAAGAUUUAUCGGUUUUGGAUGGACUCGCGGCCUAUCAGCUUGUUGGUGAGGUAAUGGCUCACCAAGGCGACGACGGGUAGCCGGCCUGAGAGGGUGACCGGCCACACUGGGACUGAGACACGGCCCAGACUCCUACGGGAGGCAGCAGUGGGGAAUAUUGCACAAUGGGCGCAAGCCUGAUGCAGCGACGCCGCGUGAGGGAUGACGGCCUUCGGGUUGUAAACCUCUUUCAGUAGGGAAGAAGCGAAAGUGACGGUACCUGCAGAAGAAGCACCGGCUAACUACGUG
rnacentral:rRNA from 1 species